ensembl:lncRNA
AGCAUUGUCCAUUUAACACAGGUUUAUUUUAAAAAGAAAAAAAAAAAAAAAAAAAGAAACAGGUUACGUAUACCCAUUGCAGUUCAACAGAAAGUUCUCCUUCUUUCAAGUGGGUAGUGGCCUAAAAUGUCAGUAUGGACAGGAAGAUGUGCUGGAUUUAAUCACAGCCUAAUGAACUGUUCUUUUUACUGAAGAUGUAAUUGUCAGUACGUGCAGAAGUCUCAGGCAGACUUAGGUAAGGGAUUUUUAAUGAAGUCUAAAGAGGAGUACAACUUUCUGUAACACUCACUCCCAGGGUUCAUUCCUAAAACCCAAACAUGUUGCUUUAUAUUACUUUUUACUUUUUCAUCUUUGCAACUCACCUGAGCACCAUGGAGAGAAACCAGAAUCCCAAACCCAUGCAUCUUGUCUCAAGAGACUGGAGCCAUUGUUUUUAAACUGCUCACCUGCUAUUUUUACGGAUUUAUUUUAUUCUUAAAAAAUAUUUUCUCUCUUCAGUCUGAUGGAGCAAAUAUGUUUGACCUGACUGCUAAUAACACCUCCCUGUGCAUUCCCUUAGUCCCUAAGAAAGGGAGGCUGUGAUAUCACAUAUCAAAAUGUGCUCAGGUGUUGCCAACAGCUGAGUGACCUCGUGAGACACAAGGGCAAAGAUGACUCAGUUCUGCCUGGAUGGAUAAGGGAGCAGAAACCUACAGGCUGCAGGCUUCAUAGCUCCCACACAAGCACCCCACAGCCAAAACCAUCCGUGGGUCUGCUCUGAAGGUGAAGACCAGCCCAAAACGUGCUCAUCUUACGCCCAGAUUUCACACGGCCAAAAGCGAGCUGCUCCCUCGCUAGCGCAACACAUUGAAUUACUGCCACUAAAUGAAAACAAUCUGGUUGGUUUCCUCAUGAUCUGGGUUGGUUUUCCAGCACAGGCUCCAUGCCCUGGGUGGGGACAGCCCCUGGCUGUGUGUGCCCUUGGUGGGUGCCCAGCAGCCGAGGCCGUGGGCGCUCGCACACCCGUGGGGCUGCGUGCAGCCACUCGCUCUCCUCCGACCACGCAGGAGCUCCCACCCCAUGGCAACAGGGCACAAACAGCAGUGUUCUGGGUGGCUGUUUGCAGGUUGUGGCUGGCAGUUGCUAUGGGUGCCUGGCAGGCAGGUGAGAGAAGCCCUCCUGAGGGGCACUGCCAGCAGCUGGCUGCUCCUACCUGCCAGGCACGCAAGGUUUUCCUCCCACCCUUUGCACGGAGAGCCAAGGAGGAUGGAUGGACACAGACAGGUGAGGCAAAACAGCCUUCAACGUGGUCACUUUGAAUUAUGUUCCGUGUUGGUGUGGCACCUCCAGCCAGCUUCCCUGAUUUCUGGUGCUCAACAGCCUUCUGUCUGCGAAAGCAGAGUGAGAAAGCGCUCCUUCCUUCAGAUGUGAAGAAACAGUUGUGCUCAGUAAUGCACAAAUGUGAAAUGGAAGUAAAUGAGGAAUUAUCCAAAUGGGCAGGACCUACCACCUAUGCUGAAAGGAAACCCUACCAUUAAAUCCUGGAGAUUAAUGCACUAAAAUCCAAUGUAAUGUGACCUAGCAAACAGGACUGAAGCACACAGUGAAGGCGGUUUUCCUUUCCUCGGUAAGAAGAGGCAGGAGGAGGAAAAAAAUAGCGUUUUUUUGUCUGCUUGAUAUUUGAUAACAACUAACAGACACCUUUCCUCAUCUUUUCUUCUCAGGAGGAUGCAAAGCAACCAUUCCACUGGCGAUGUUUGCUCUGGAGAUAUUCCACCAGCGGAGGAACAGUCAGCACUAACGCACACACAGCAGCCUCCUGUCAGAUACAUCCCUUCAUCCCCAGCGUGGUUAGAGGCUAAUUGAGAGAAAUACAUUCCUACACAAUGGCUAACGAGAACAGAUUCAUGCAUGUGUGUGUUUGUUUAGAGAAAUGCAUGUACACUUUAUUUUGUUGUUGUAUUUCGCCUGGAGAAAUAUGCUGAAGUAACCAAACUUUUGCUGGGAACAGUAACACCAGCUGUUGAAGGACACAGAAAUUUACACCCUGUCACAUAAAUGCUUUGUUUACUGUAGUUUGAGAAAUGCCAUGAGGGGGAAAUCAAGCAAGACUGAGGACAAGUUUUAUCUUUGCAGGUUUCCUUCCACUUGCACUGGAAGUCUCCAGCAUUUGAAGAUUUGUUUGAGCCCACCUGGAUGGCGUUUUUCUGUCUUGUACUGAAGAUUUAAUAUUAGUUUUCUCUGCAAGGUCAUUGGUACACAAAGAAAGAAAAAAAUCCCAACAUGCCUUUGAAAUCCUUCCACCACCAGGGCUCUGCCCAUUUUUCAUCUGAGGGAAUACAAACGACAAACUGAUUUAAAUCUGGCAGCAAUAGCCACAGAAGUAUGUUAGGACUGCAGCCCUCCUAGCACCACAUGGAGGAGAGUGAGAUCCAAUAGCAUUCCCUAACUUCCCAUUUUCUGUUGAUUGCCAAAUCCUCUAGCUGGUGCCUUCUCCUCUUUUCUGGCAAAGAUGAGUAGCUCCUGCUGUCUUUGCUUGUCCUGGUCACCAUGUGUUGGUCCUGCACCUCAGGAGAUGUGUCCUCCAUCAAAGCCAAGGUCCAUUUCCAAGUGCAAUUAAAUUGUGGCUCAGAAAACGACAAUGCAAAAUGUAAGGGAACAACAUUACCUUGGAGGAAAUUGUGUAUUCAGCAGGUCCUCCUCACACAGCUUCCACAAAGCAUAACUUCUCCAGGGCAUCACGGCUGGACUUGGUAACAGGUGUGACUUCCUUCCUCUGUAGGACAUUGCGUUUUUAGAAAUGGUUGCCUUCGCCUCGUUUUGUGACCCUACAUUUUCAAAUAUUGAAUUCUUUAAACUGAAAACACAUGGCUGUGUCUAAUUACCAUUCCUAAUUCCUGCUGAGAUAGCCUGAAGCUGAUGUUUUAAUGAGCUUCCUCAUUGUGGAGAAAAGCAAUCAGCAGGUAAUGAUAGGCUGGACAUUAUAAUGUCCUUCUCUUGCUGUUGUCUAGGUCAGUUCCAAACUGAUGUUAUCAUCACAAAUAAUCAAAAAAACCCUCAACAAACACCCCAAAUAAAAGGAAAUACUUGCAUAUCUGCA